GACGAACGCUGGCGGCGUGGAUUAGGCAUGCAAGUCGAACGGUAUCAUCCUUUCGGGGGUGAGAGAGUGGCGAACUGGUGAGUAACACGUAGGUUAUCUACCCUCAAGACGGGGACAACCCAGGGAAACUUGGGCUAAUACCGGAUGUGAGCAACUUUUAGUUGUUUGAAAGGUGGCGUAAGCUGUCGCUUGGGGAUGAGCCUGCGUCCUAUUAGUUAGUUGGUGAGGUAACGGCUCACCUAGGCAAUGAUAGGUAGGCGGCCUUAACGGGUGGUCGCCCACACUGGGAUUGAGAUACGGCCCAGACUCCUACGGGAGGCAGCAGUCGAGAAUAGUCUACAAUGGUCGGAAGACUGAUAGUGCGACGCCGCGUGAACGAUGAAUCCCUUCGGGGUUAAAGUUCUUUUAUAUGUGAGCAGUGCUUUCUUAUAUUAACAGUAUGGGGAAGAGAUAUUAGCAUAUGAAUAAGCAACGGCUAACUCCGUGCCCAGCAGCCGACGGU
rnacentral:rRNA from 1 species